rnacentral:rRNA from 1 species
UGGGGAAUAUUGCACAAUGGGCGAAAGCCUGAUGCAGCGACGCCGCGUGAGGGAUGACGGCCUUCGGGUUGUAAACCUCUUUCAGCAGGGACGAAGCGCAAGUGACGGUACCUGCAGGAGAAGCACCGGCUAACUACGUGCCAGCAGCCGCGGUAAUACGUAGGGUGCAAGCGUUGUCCGGAAUUACUGGGCGUAAAGAGUUCGUAGGCGGUUUGUCGCGUCGUUUGUGAAAACCAGCAGCUCAACUGCUGGCUUGCAGGCGAUACGGGCAGACUUGAGUACUGCAGGGGAGACUGGAAUUCCUGGUGUAGCGGUGAAAUGCGCAGAUAUCAGGAGGAACACCGGUGGCGAAGGCGGGUCUCUGGGCAGUAACUGACGCUGAGGAACGAAAGCGUGGGUAGCGAACAGG